UACAGGGGGUGCAAGCGUUGUUCGGAAUUAUUGGGCGUAAAGCGCGUGUAGGCGGCUUUGCAAGUCGGGUGUGAAAGCCCUCGGCUCAACUGAGGAAGUGCGCCCGAAACUGCAGAGCUUGAGUGCCGGAGAGGGUGGCGGAAUUCCCCAAGUAGAGGUGAAAUUCGUAGAUAUGGGGAGGAACACCGGUGGCGAAGGCGGCCACCUGGACGGUAACUGACGCUGAGACGCGAAAGCGUGGGGAUCAAACAGG
rnacentral:rRNA from 1 species